UGGGGAAUUUUGGACAAUGGGCGAAAGCCUGAUCCAGCAAUGCCGCGUGUGUGAAGAAGGCCUUCGGGUUGUAAAGCACUUUUGUCCGGAAAGAAAUCCUUGGCUCUAAUACAGUCGGGGGAUGACGGUACCGGAAGAAUAAGCACCGGCUAACUACGUGCCAGCAGCCGCGGUAAUACGUAGGGUGCAAGCGUUAAUCGGAAUUACUGGGCGUAAAGCGUGCGCAGGCGGUUUGCUAAGACCGAUGUGAAAUCCCCGGGCUCAACCUGGGAACUGCAUUGGUGACUGGCAGGCUAGAGUAUGGCAGAGGGGGGUAGAAUUCCACGUGUAGCAGUGAAAUGCGUAGAGAUGUGGAGGAAUACCGAUGGCGAAGGCAGCCCCCUGGGCCAAAUACUGACGCUCAUGCACGAAAGCGUGGGGAGCAAACAGGAUUAGAUACCCUGGUAGUCCACGCCCUAAACGAUGUCAACUAGUUGUUGGGGAUUCAUUUCCUUAGUAACGUAGCUAACGCGUGAAGUUGACCGCCUGGGGGAGUACGGUCGCAAGAUUAAAACUUAAAUGAAUUGACGGGGUCAUA
rnacentral:rRNA from 1 species